CUGGGGUGAAGUCGUAACAAGGUAGCCGUAUUGGAAGGUGCGGCUGGAUCACCUCCUUUCUAAGGAGAAUU
rnacentral:rRNA from 1 species